rnacentral:rRNA from 1 species
AGCGAACGCUGGCGGCAGGCCUAACACAUGCCAGUCGAACGGAUCCUUCGGGAUUAGUGGCGGACGGGUGAGUAACACGUGGGAACGUGCCCUUUGGUUCGGAACAACUCAGGGAAACUUGAGCUAAUACCGGAUGUGCCCUUCGGGGGCAAGAUUUAUCGCCAUUGGAGCGGCCCGCGUCUGAUUAGCUAGUUGGUGAGGUAACGGCCCACCAAGGCGACGAUCAGUAGCUGGUCUGAGAGGAUGAUCAGCCACACUGGGACUGGGACACGGCCCAGACUCCUACGGGAGGCAGCAGUGGGGAAUCUUGCGCAAUGGGCGAAAGCCUGACGCAGCCAUGCCGCGUGAAUGAUGAAGGUCUUAGGAUUGUAAAAUUCUUUCAGCGGGGACGAUAAUGACGGUACCCGCAGAAGAAGCUCCGGCUAACUUCGUG